CACGUAGGGCGCAAGCGUUGUCCGGAAUUAUUGGGCGUAAAGAGCUCGUAGGCGGUCUGUUGCGUCUGCUGUGAAAACCCGGGGCUUAACCCCUGGCUUGCAGUGGAUACGGACAGACUAGAGGUAGGUAGGGGAGAAUGGAAUUCCCGGUGUAGCGGUGAAAUGCGCAGAUAUCGGGAGGAACACCGGUGGCGAAGGCGGCAUCCUGGACCGGUAUUGACGCUGAGGCGCGAAAGCUAGGGGAGCAAACGGG
rnacentral:rRNA from 1 species